UACGGAGGGUGCAAGCGUUAUCCGGAUUCACUGGGUUUAAAGGGUGCGUAGGCGGGCAGGUAAGUCCGUGGUGAAAUCUCCGAGCUUAACUCGGAAACUGCCGUUGAUACUAUUUGUCUUGAAUAUUGUGGAGGUAAGCGGAAUAUGUCAUGUAGCGGUGAAAUGCUUAGAUAUGACAUAGAACACCAAUUGCGAAGGCAGCUUACUACACAACGAUUGACGCUGAGGCACGAAAGCGUGGGGAUCAAACAGG
rnacentral:rRNA from 1 species